UUAAAACCAGACCGCCCGGGGACCCGUAGCGAACCAUUCCGUGAUUAUAAAUAUACAGAAAUAUACGUUGUGUUGGUACAGUCCCGACAGGCCUUCGCCCUCGGCUUCCUGGAACGGAGAGGUUCGUCCCAGCAGCAGCUUCAACCAUGGCGUCUACGGAGAUAGCCAGGCAGGCGGGAGAGGGUGCCCGUGCAGUCCCUCUGGCCGGCCAUGUCGGCUUCGACAGCAUGCCCGACCAACUGGUCAACAAGUCGGUCAACCACGGCUUCUGCUUCAACAUCCUCUGCGUCGGGGAGACCGGGCUGGGGAAGUCCACCCUCAUGGACACCUUGUUCAACACCAAGUUCGAGGGCGAGCCCACUCAGCACAACCAGCCCGGAGUGCAGCUCAAGUCCAACACCUACGAGCUCCAGGAGAGCAACGUGCGGCUCAAGCUCACCGUGGUCAACACCGUGGGCUUCGGGGACCAGAUCAACAAGGAGGACAGUUACAAAUCCAUCGUGGAGUUCAUCGACGCCCAGUUUGAGGCCUAUCUACAGGAGGAGCUUAAAAUCAAGCGCACCCUACACAGUUACCACGACACGCGCAUCCACGCAUGCCUGUACUUCAUCGCGCCCACGGGACACUCCCUCAAAUCGCUCGACUUGGUGACCAUGAAGAAACUCGAUAGCAAGGUCAACAUUAUUCCAAUCAUUGCCAAAUCCGAUGCCAUUUCCAAGAGCGAGCUGACCAAGUUCAAGAUCAAAAUCACCAGCGAGUUGGUCAGCAACGGGGUCCAGAUCUACCAGUUCCCCACGGACGACGAGACGGUGGCCGAGAUCAACUCCACCAUGAACGGCCAUUUGCCAUUCGCCGUGGUGGGGAGCACGGAGGAGGUGAAGAUCGGGAACAAGAUGGUGAAGGCUCGGCAGUACCCCUGGGGGACGGUGCAGGUGGAGAACGAGAACCACUGCGACUUCGUGAAGCUGCGGGAGAUGCUGAUCAGGGUGAACAUGGAGGACCUGCGGGAGCAGACGCACACGAGCCACUACGAGCUGUACCGCCGCUGCAAGCUGGAGGAGAUGGGCUUCAAGGACACGGACCCCGACUGCAAGCCCUUCAGUCUGCAGGAGACCUACGAGGCCAAGAGGAACGAGUUCAUGGGCGAGCUGCAGAAGAAGGAGGAGGAAAUGAGGCAGAUGUUCGUCCAGCGAGUCAAGGAGAAGGAGGGCGAGCUCAAGGAGGCAGAGAAGGAGCUGCACGAGAAGUUUGACCGCCUGAAGAAGCUCCACCAGGACGAGAAGAAGAAGCUGGAGGACAAGAGGAAAUCUCUGGACGACGAGCUGAACAUGUUCAAACAGAAGAAGACGGCGGCAGAGCUGCUGCUGAAUCAGGCCCAGCAGGCAGGGGGCUCCACCACCCUCAAGAGGGACAAGGAGAGGAAGAACUGAUGAGACCCGCUGCUGUUUAAAAAGGACCAAGACUUUUGCACUAAAAACAGUUCUGGAUUCCUGUUGAAAAGUGCCCCCUCAUCCCUGCUGUGAAUGACUUGUCACCAAAUCACCCUGCAGGGCCCCUAGCCCCCCUCCUUAUCCCCACUGUCCACCCGACACCCACCAAGCCACUAAUAUCAAUCACACCUUUUGGUUUGACCCAAACAUGCAUCCUUUUUCGAACUGAAUGACGGUUCUCUUUAUUUGUGGUUUUGUACGAGCCAUUAUUUUGAGAAACAAAAACACACAGUCUUUGUAGAUUGAGUGUGGCCUAGGACUACUUCCCCAUUAUUCAUGCAAAAGAGCCCAACGGGUGUGUGAAGCCUUCAAUAACUUAAAAUAAAAACACAUUUCAGUCUCAUUUUAUGGACCAAAAAAUAAUACAUCAUAAAACAGAGGCUGCGCUGGUCAUUGCAACGGAAUGGAAGGUGUAAUGUUUUAGCCAACACAUUCACUCUGCCGUCAGCUUGUCCCUUGAGUCAAUCAGUUACAGUCUGACCGAGGAACUAUAGAUUUUUGUGCGUUACAUUUUGAGAAAGGGUUGAACUGUGAGUCUGCAUCCUAUUUGCUGGAAUUCACUUAAGCCAUAACUAGAAUACACUCCCAAUUUCCAUUUUUACGUCCAUAAUGAUAUAAUGUAUGGAUUUACGGACUGAUUCCAUCGUAUUAUUACAGGGCAGAGGGAUCGUUCAUUCUAGCCUCAUGCAUGAGCCAAUACAUGCUCCUCUUUUCCUGUACCUCGUGGGUGGUUCAUUCAUACCUGUGUAUUCGCCUUCACAUUUGUGACGUAUAUUUUUUUUACAAAUGUGAUUUUUUUAUUAUUCCUUUAUGUAUUUCCUAUGCCAACGCAACUUUUUAUGUAACCUUAAAAGAAAGCACAUUAAACUGACCCAAACAGAAAACAAAGAGAAACAUGUAUCAGUGUUAAACCGAUGGUAUUUUAUCUAAAGUGAUUAAUAAAUGUGAACAUUAACCAAAUAUGGAAAUUGUGGCCACAAUCCUUUGGUAGUGAAUGGAGCACGACAUCCCAUAUGGCAUCAUUUACUGAUUUGUGAUAUUUUGUGUGCCCACGUGAGCCUUUUUAAUGGAGGAUACGUCACACAGAAUGCCAUACAUUGGGGUCACAAAUGUAUUUGACUUUGAACACCGUAGAAAAGGAUAGUGGUUCCCGCCUGACAUUAUCCAUCUGAGAGCUUGUGAGGCUGCACUUAAAAUAAGCGUGUGUUAGUGUGUCUGUGUGUGUAUUCCACGCGCGUCCUUGUUGAUUUACAGCCUGAAUACAGACGACGUGCCAGCGUCAAUCUCAAUCUUUCCGUGCGUUGGAGGCCCCCAGGGGCUUGGAGUUGAUGGGAUGAAAAUGUACAAUCAACGAGUGUUCCAUAUCUCCAUCCCAAUCCUCCCCUUAAUAGUCUGUGUAUUCACUUUCCUUUGCAGUAAUCCGUGGCUCUGCACUGAGUAGGUCUUCGGCCCUGAAGUAUUGCUAAGGGACCAGGCUUUGUGGGUAUUUAACACCCCGGGUUGUGACCAGAGCCUGCUUUGUGGACGCCACCCUUCUGUGUUUCCUAAUGGUGAUUCCCCCCUGCGUAAUAUGUGUUAACCAUCCAGUAUUAGUUGUUUUCUAUUCCAAACUUCCGCUUUUUCUGCUUCUCUAACUUCUAUUCUGAUCGCCGUGCGGCAGAAGCUUUCAGAUGUGCUCUACACACGUAUGCUUAGUAUGUACGCUUUACUGCUACUGUUUUGGCUGAGGUUGGUUUGAUGGCAAACAUGUUUUUCUUACGAUUACCGGUCAAAGAAAAGGCAAUAAAAUACCCACUUGUGUCUUUCCCGAAUAACCCGGAGCACCAAGUGAAGUCCAUGUUCUCAGCAGGUUUGGGACGGCAUGCAGUAGUCCAUUAAAACACUUGUUUUCCCUGUAAAAGCAUGAAGAGGACUAAAUCCGCCGUGGUGGUCGUCCUGUGAAACAUCUUCUGCAAUCUCAAAGUGAAUCCUAGUGGUUUCGUCCUGACUCUCGCUUGGCCGUCUCCUCUAACCUGCCUCUCUCCCUCCCUCCCUCUCUCUGUUUCCUAGCUUUUUUUAAUCUUGGCCGUCAGAAGAGGGGAUUGCAGCUUCAACGAGAACUAAAACACCCAAUACCUCCUCUGUUCUUGCUCCCUGCAUCAACCUUUUUAAUCUUGCAUCUUUCAUCUGAUUUGUCGAAUAAGGCCUUAUGUGGACUCGCAUGGUAUUUAUGAUAAGGAAUAAAAUAAAACUGAGCCCACUGGGGAGCCUCAGACCUGACACGGCUGUCUUAAAAAGAUUGGGGACUACCCUUGAAAAAAAGAAAACGAAACAGAGUUUAUUUGGGGUAUCUUACACCACUGUUAAUCCGUCUCCAUUUUAAAUAACAUUGCAAUUAUCUCUUUCCUUUUUAAUGGGAAAGCUUGUUUCUAAUAUAAAAAGUGCACUCAAUGACAUACCUCUUGGGUCAAGUAUGUUAUUAAGUAUUGCUUAUUCACAAUAACAAUUGUCCAACAAAUAGUUUUUUUUCUUUUCAGUUGGAAAAAAAUGAGCCGUCACAUGCUGAAUUCAUUACAACUCCAUCACACAACCUUGGUAUUAUAUACAUUUAUAUUAAAACAAUUCCUGCAACAACUGAGUCCAUAACUUUCUUAGGCACUUAUUAAAAGGCAUUAUGGUCUGGAUUACAUGCUUGAGUACCAUGGAGGUCACAUUAAGUGCCCUCUUAAACAUAGUGCUUUAACAAUCACCCACCUAUUCUGUAUUUUGCAUGCAUACCUUUAUUUCAUUACUGGAGUUAUCAUGACCUUUUCCCUUGUUUUAUCCCUGGUUAACUACAUUUGAAGUCUAUAUUGAAUAUUGUUUUUUUUUUAUGAUGCACAUUAUUAAUGUAUAUUUGCUGUCUUAUAAUUGUAGAACCCAUUUGCCAAAUAUUACUAUUAAGGUGUAGUUGGAUUUUAAUCCCAAAUAGUGAAGAAUACCUGUGCAUUUAUAUAAUUUAUAAGGAUAUAUUUUGUGUAUUGAAGUGGAGACCUGUUUAUGAAAUAUUACCUUUGGAUGUGGCUUUCACUUUAAAGAACUAAAUGGUGUCAGGAAAUAUACAUUUUUAGCAUCUGUCAUCACUUCUUGUAGUCCAAUACUUUUCCACAACGCAUAUUAGGCCUACUUUCUUGUAGUUUGAAUCUGUUGUAAAUUUUCAAUAAAAACAAUCUUAUCCAAA